AGAGUUUGAUCAUGGCUCAGAUUGAACGCUGGCGGCAUGCUUUACACAUGCAAGUCGAACGGGGUGGAGGGGCACCUUCCAUUCAGUGGCGAACGGGUGAGUAAUGCAUCGGAACGUGUCCCGUAGUGGGGGAUAACCCGGCGAAAGCCGGACUAAUACCGCAUAUGCUCUACGGAGGAAAGUGGGGGACCUGCAAGGGCCUCACGCUAUGGGAGCGGCCGAUGUCCGAUUAGCUUGUUGGUGGGGUAAUGGCCUACCAAGGCUACGAUCGGUAGCUGGUCUGAGAGGAUGAUCAGCCACACUGGGACUGAGACACGGCCCAGACUCCUACGGGAGGCAGCAGUGGGGAAUUUUGGACAAUGGGGGCAACCCUGAUCCAGCCAUGCCGCGUGCGGGAAGAAGGCCUUCGGGUUGUAAACCGCUUUUAGUCGGGAAGAAAAGGCGCGGGCGAAUACNNNNNNUUUUUGACGGUACCGGCGGAAUAAGCACCGGCUAACUACGUGCCAGCAGCCGCGGUAAUACGUAGGGUGCGAGCGUUAAUCGGAAUUACUGGGCGUAAAGCGUGCGCAGGCGGUUCGCUGUGUCCGAUGUGAAAGCCCCGGGCUUAACCUGGGAAUGGCAUUGGAAACUGGCGGGCUUGAGUGCGGCAGAGGGGGGUGGAAUUCCGCGUAGCAGUGAAAUGCGUAGAGAUGCGGAGGAACACCGAUGGCGAAGGCAGCCCCCUGGGUCGACACUGACGCUCAGGCACGAAAGCGUGGGGAGCAAACAGGAUUAGAUACCCUAGUAGUCC
rnacentral:rRNA from 1 species